GUGGGUAGUUUGACUGGGGCGGUCUCCUCCCAAAGCGUAACGGAGGAGCACGAAGGUUAGCUAAUCCUGGUCGGACAUCAGGAGGUUAGUGCAAUGGCAUAAGCUAGCUUGACUGCGAGCGUGACGGCGCGAGCAGGUGCGAAAGCAGGUCAUAGUGAUCCGGUGGUUCUGAAUGGAAGGGCCAUCGCUCAACGGAUAAAAGGUACUCCGGGGAUAACAGGCUGAUACCGCCCAAGAGUUCAUAUCGACGGCGGUGUUUGGCACCUCGAUGUCGGCUCAUCACAUCCUGGGGCUGAAGUAGGUCCCAAGGGUAUGGCUGUUCGCCAUUUAAAGUGGUACGCGAGCUGGGUUUAGAACGUCGUGAGACAGUUCGGUCCCUAUCUGCCGUGGGCGCUGGAGAAUUGAGGGGGGCUGCUCCUAGUACGAGAGGACCGGAGUGGACGCAUCACUGGUGUUCGGGUUGUCAUGCCAAUGGCACUGCCCGGUAGCUAAAUGCGGAAGAGAUAAGUGCUGAAAGCAUCUAAGCACGAAACUUGCC
rnacentral:rRNA from 2 species